rnacentral:rRNA from 1 species
UACCCCACUAUACUUUUUUAUAUUAUUAAAUACCAGAGUAUUACGAUUUUAAAAUUAAAACUUAAAGAACUUGGCGAUUUUUUACACCUACUCGGAGGAGCUUGUUAUUAAAUUGAUUUUCCACAAGAUACCUAACCUUUCUUUGCAUUUCAGCUUGUAUACCAUCGUCGCCAGCUUACUUUUAAAAAUAAAAGCAAAAAGAAUUAACUUCAUAACGUCAGAUCAAGGUGCAGCCUAUAGAAAGGGAAUACAUGAGCUACUUUUUUAAAUAAAUAUGAGGAAAAAAUAAUGAAAAAAUUUUUGAAAAAGGAUUCGACAGUAAUUUAUUAAAGAAAUAUUAAAUAAAAAAGCUCUAAAAUACGCACAUACCGCCCG